UAAGGAAUAUUGGUCAAUGGGUGCAAGCCUGAACCAGCCAUCCCGCGUGAAGGACGACUGCCCUAUGGGUUGUAAACUUCUUUUGUAUAGGGAUAAACCUUUCCACGUGUGGAAAGCUGAAGGUACUAUACGAAUAAGCACCGGCUAACUCCGUGCCAGCAGCCGCGGUAAUACGGAGGGUGCAAGCGUUAUCCGGAUUUAUUGGGUUUAAAGGGUCCGUAGGCGGACUUAUAAGUCAGUGGUGAAAGCCUGUCGCUUAACGAUAGAACUGCCAUUGAUACUGUAAGUCUUGAGUAUAUUUGAGGUAGCUGGAAUAAGUAGUGUAGCGGUGAAAUGCAUAGAUAUUACUUAGAACACCAAUUGCGAAGGCAGCUUACUGGGCCAUUACUGACGCUGAUGCACGAAAGCGUGGGGAGCGAACA
rnacentral:rRNA from 1 species